AAUUUUGUUCUUUCUUCUUUAAUAAAAUUAUAUUUAACCGAUUUAAUCUUUUCUUGUGGUGUACCAAAUCCUGGAAACAUCACUCCUUAUCAUCCUCGUCUUUACUUCAUUUUUAAUACAGAAGUUGAGUUAAUCACAGCAAAAUGAUUGUGAGCAAAGUGUUUCUUUCUUUACUCAUUUCCAUCACCCUAUGUGUCAUUUUUCGAAAUGUGGAUUGUCGUUCAGUCCAGUACCCAAUACGAAGCGAUGUAAUCGUGACCAAGUUCCCAACAACGCAAGAAACCGUCCCAGAAAACGAAAAACCCGGAUGGAUGAGGAGAACUCUUAUGAAAUUUGGGGAAGUUACGAGCCGAUUGGGCAACGCAAUGGGGGCACAUGCCACCAAAAUAACGUCAGCUAUUGACAAAGUUUGCGAAAUUGUUAAAACGAUAAUUCCACUUAUCGCCGCCGUGUGUCACGUUGGACAAUUUAAAUUUUGUGCGGCGACAUCGGAAGCCCCAGGACAACUGGCGGAAGCUCUAAACCCUGUCAGUUUAAAUUUAGAUGAGCCAGACAAAAAGAGAUAAAGGAGAAACAUAUUAUUCACACUUUUAAUUAAAUUUAAUAUGUUUGAACAGUUUAUAACUAAUAAAUACAUUUAAGUAGUGA